GUCCUGAAAAGUUUUUGUUUUAUUCAUGUUUGUAUCCUACUGUUUAGUACAGUGUGGUAGUAUAUAAUAGAUACUCAAAUAUUUGUUGAAUAAAUAUUCACUACAUCAUUAACAAUGUGUAUGUAGUCUUUUCUUAAAAGGCUCUCUUCUGUAAUAUCAGAUUGCUCAAAUUGAAUGUAGUAUUUCCUUAAAAAGCUUAAAAAGGAUAUUUUCCAAAAUAUAUCAGAACACUAGACUAGUGAACUUAUUCCUAGUGCUUUAAAAUAUUAAGAAAAAAGGGUAUUCUAUGGUUUUUCUUAAAAAAGGACAAAUAGUACAAACAUAAAUAUAAAUGCCUCUUAAGUGAAAAUCUAAAUUAAUGACAAACUUAAUUAUAAUUCUCAAUGACACUAAAUCUACAAAGUAUAGGACUUUUUCUUCACCUUUAUGCUUGAUUAGCCUAGUAACAUCUGAUUUGUUUCCUCCUGCAAUUUAAAAAUUUUCUCUGCUUAAAUAAUAAUUGUUUAAUAUUUAAAUCUGGACCCUGUAUACACAUGUAUGUAUCUUUAUGGCAGACGUUUGUGUGACAUUAGUAAUAUUUUUCCCACCCCACCCCACCCCCCAAAAAAAAAACACCAGGCAAAACUUUAAGGGAAUGGUAUUCGUAGGAACUCAGAUUAGGUACUCAUCAGAGAAUCUGAGUUUCUGCGUUACUUUUAGAAAUAUCUAAAAUAGAUUAAAACAGGAAGUCAGAAGUUCUUCUGUCUUUUCACUACUUUAUCACUAAAAUAAAGGAUGAAGGAAUUAACGACGUUAAGGUUACUGGAUGUAAACACAACUCACACUUUCCAUUGAACACACAGCAGCCACCUACUAAUACGGGCCUGAAAAUCACACUGAAAUACAUACUGGUCCACAAAAUCUGAAGGGAAAUCUGCCAUGUCUGGUAUAUUCACUCAGUUCUCUUAAGUGGCCAUUGCCAAGGUCGCAUUAAUAAGUCUCCUUUGAUGUUAAUGAUUGGGAGCGUUCCCGGCAGGGGGCUAAAAGCUGACUUUCCAAGCUGGACGUUGCUUGGAAAUACCUAGAACAAACUCCACAGCCAUUCGGAUUAAGUGAACCGAACGGACUCGAAACAUGCGGAUAAAAAGGCCUUUCCUCCGCUUCUUUGACCCACAGUUUAUUUUUAACUAUUCAAUAUUUAUAACUCAGAGCGAAUUCUAAAGGCAAAUUAAGAACUGCCUGUUCACCAGAUCACUUCUGCGAGACGAACUCGGCUUCGGAGGGAGCCUGGCCUCGAGCCCGCCCGGGGCAGGGGCAGGACCGCACGCGCUGACCCUCUCCGCAGGGCGCGAUUCCGGCCCCGGGUUUCGGUUAGACCGCAGCAGGAAGCUUUCUCUUCCUCUGCGGGAGGCGGCGGAGCCAAGGAGAAACUUGAACUCCCACUCUCACGGGGCACGCAGAGAUGCAAUGGUUUAUCUCCCUUCAAAUGCAUGUGCUGAGAUUUGGUUGUGAAGGUAUUAACAGGAAACUUCAUACCUCCAUGGUGUUGACAGAUGGGGCUUCUGAGAAUAAUGACAUGAUUGACUCCUGGUGGUUUAUAAGGAGAAGGAAUGAGCCCAGAAGAGACAACUACAUGGAAUGUAGGGGUGUAUGUUCCUCUUCUCCCAUGGUGUGCUGCCCUGCGUGGCUUUGGGACCCCACCAACAAGAAAACCCUUUCCAGAUGUGGCCCCUGGACCUCCAAACCGUGAGCUGAACACACUUCUAUUCUCUUGAACUACUCACACUCAGAAUUGCAAGAAGAUGGAAAUCUACCAAGCUUUUUAAAGUCAUCUCGAGAGAGGGAGUCGUCUGCCUUCUGAACGGUUACCCUAUAUUCCCAAGUGACAAAAGAGAGAAUUAAAAUCAGCGAUGUUGAGAAAGGCAAGAAGAUUUUUGUUCAGAAGUAUGCCCAGGGCCACACCAUGGAAAAGGGAGGCAAGCACAAGACUGGCUCAAAUCUCCAAGGUCUACGUGGGCAGAAGACAAGUCAGGCCCCUGGAUUCUCUUACACAGAUUCCAACAAGAACAAAGGCAUCACCUGGGGAGAGGAUACACUGAUGGAGGAUUUGGAGAAUCCCAAGAAGGACAUCCCUGGAACAACAAUGAUCUUCACUGGCAUUAAAAAGAAGUCCAAAAGAGUGGAGUUGAUAGCUUAUCUUAAAAAAGCUACUA